rfam:Candidatus Rokubacteria bacterium 13_2_20CM_69_15_1 13_2_20cm_scaffold_1689, whole genome shotgun sequence.
UCCCCGGUAGCUCAGUCGGUAGAGCGCCUGACUGUUAAUCAGGAUGUCGCUGGUUCGAGUCCAGCCCGGGGAG